GAUUAACGCUGGCGGCGUGCAUAACACAUGCAAGUCGAACGAUGAAACUUAAAUGAUUUCUUCGGAAUGAACUUAAGUGGAUUAGUGGCGGACGGGUGAGUAACGCGUGAGUAACCUGCCUUACACAAGGGGAUAGCCGUUGGAAACGACGAAUAAUACCCUAUGAAACUAUCACUUCGCAUGAAGCGAUAGUCAAAGUGUUAGCGGUGUAAGAUGGACUUGCGUCUGAUUAGCUAGUUGGUGAGAAAAAAGCCCACCAAGGCAACGAUCAGUAGCCGGCUUGAGAGAGUGGACGGCCACAUUGGGACUGAGACACGGCCCAGACUCCUACGGGAGGCAGCAGUGGGGAAUUUCGCACAAUGGGGGAAACCCUGAUGCAGCGACGCCGCGUGAUUUAGAAGGCCUUCGGGUUGUAAAAAUCUUUUGUAUAGGAAGAAAAUGACAGUACUAUACGAAUAAGGGCCGGCUAAUUACGUG
rnacentral:rRNA from 1 species